UGGGGGCGGCGCCGGGGGCGGCGCGGGCCGGGGCUGCCUCGACGGGACGGGCCGGGGGCGGCGGCGGCGGCUUCGGGGCGGGCGGAGGGAGACGGGGCUGCUGCGCCGCCCGGCCCGGCCCCCCGAGACCGGCCCCCGGGCGGGACCCCCGGGACGGGACACCCCCGGACCCCCGGACCCCCGGACCCCCGGGACGGGACCCCCGGAGCUCCCCUGGGACCCCUGAGUCCCUCCGGGACCCCCCCGGCCCGUCCGCCCCGUCGGGGAGCUGCGCCCGGAGCGGCAGGAUUCCUGAGCUGGACCGUUUCCCGUGGGAUUUCCCCCACCCAGCAUCGCUCCGGAUGGUCCCGCCCCCCAGUUCCCAAAGGGGUGCCGAGGAAAUGGUACCCGCGGCGCAGCAGCAUCACCUCGGCGCUCCCCGUGCAGGAAAAGGCACUGAAGCAUCUCGAAAUAUAAUUAGAAAUCUAAAUAUGACAUCGCUGUUACACUCCGAGACCCAGCACCAUAAAACACCCGGGCUGUGAUUUGUAAAAGCCGUAGCGAGUCGGCCGGAGCAGUAUAUACACCCGAGCAUCCCGACGGAUGAAGUUCAUGAUCGCUUAAAGAUUACCCAUGAGUUUUCAAUUACCUCCUAUUAAUGUAUUUACUCUCUGUAUCUUUUAUCAAGCUAAAAGUUGUUUUAUUUUUUGCACGGGGAUGGCUUCAGUUUCUUAAAUGGCACAUAUUUCAAUAUUAAAGCCGCUUACUAUCAUCGUGGGCAUGAGCGAUGCCUCGGGGGAGCGGAGCCGGAGCCGGCUGCGUCUCCAUCCUCUCCUGGAGUUUAAUUAAGCGGGUGUUUGACUUCGCCCAGAGUCGGACAUUAUGGAUGGCCGGU